UACGUAGGGUGCGAGCGUUGUCCGGAAUUAUUGGGCGUAAAGGGCUCGUAGGCGGUUUGUCGCGUCGGGAGUGAAACCUCGGGCUUAACUCGGGCUUGCUUUCGAUACGGGCAGACUAGAGUUCGGUAGGGAGACUGGAAUUCCUGGUGUAGCGGUGAAAUGACGCAGAUAUCAGGAGGAACACCGGUGGCGAAGGCGGGUCUCUGGACAGGUCCUGACGCUGAGGCACGAAGGUCAGGGGAGCAAACGGG
rnacentral:rRNA from 1 species